AAGGACUCUCUGGUGGCAAGGAAUCUGUAGGAAAAGAGAUAAUUUGUUAACUGGUGUGCAACAUACAUGAGUUAUUGUUACUGAAAAAAAAAGUAUGUUAUUCAAUUAUCUGGCAAUUUAUGUCAACAGUUGUGAAGUGCCAAGGUCGCUGGAGGGACCUAAGGGACCAAUAAAAAAAAUAAAAAAAGGUUCAACCACGGAGUGGAUCGGCAGCAGGACCAAAGGAGUGGAAAUACUCCCAAGCCCUUUCCUUCCUUGUUCCCCACCUUCAACCCAGGAGCUCUAGAAGCAGCCUAGACCAGGUUGAUGUGGAUGAUUGGGAGGCAUUGGACCUGAGCCAUGGAGAGGAUGUGCGGGAUGAAAAUGACCAACAGUCAGCUGAUCAACAUUUUCAACCUGGUUCUUCAACCAGCAGGCAGCCCUACAACAGACCUGCCGCGCGCAAGAGGGUCUCAGCACCUGCGGUGUCAUUGGAGGAUAGGCUGCUGGCUAUGGUCCAGGAGCCUCCACAACCGAUGUUCCAUCAUGUGCCACAAGAAAAGGAUGAGAUGUUGCAUUUUGCCCUCAGUCUGGUGCCAUUGUUAAAUAAAUUAAGUGGCAGGGGUAAAUUAAGGGCAAAAAUUGCCCUCUUAGAAAGUCUCCAGGGUGUCCAUGACCUGGAUCAAGGGCACCGGCAGGCGCAGAUGCAGGGCCCUGGUCUAAUGACAUGGGAUCAGACAUCCCAGAAAUCCCACCAGAGCCACCCGAGUCAAGGAUUGUAUGCACCACACUCGCAUGCACAGUUACACAGGUACAGACCAAGAAGUGAGGAGACUUGGGGGGAAUGUGGUGAAAGUACUGUGCCUUCACCCAUCCCUCACUUUACAGACCUAUAGAUCAAUAAAUUGACUUUGUAAAUCAUUAUUUCCUUUGUG